rnacentral:rRNA from 1 species
UACGGGGGGGGCAAGCGUUGUUCGGAAUUACUGGGCGUAAAGGGCUCGUAGGUGGCCAACUAAGUCAGACGUGAAAUCCCUCGGCUUAACCGGGGAACUGCGUCUGAUACUGGAUGGCUUGAGUUUGGGAGAGGGAUGCGGAAUUCCAGGUGUAGCGGUGAAAUGCGUAGAUAUCGUAAGGAAGACCAGUGGCGAAGGCGGGUCUCUGGACAGUUCCUGACGCUGAGGCACGAAGGUUAGGGGAGCAAACGGG